CCAGGAUUUAUAGGUCUCUGCCUACCAGGGAGGCUGUGAAGGCUCUGGAAAACUGGCUCACUCUGGGGGAAGGAAUUAGAGCCUGGAACUCAGACUGGAAGGGAAAAGCCCAUUCUUCCAUCACUUUCAGUAGCAGCUCAGUGACUCCAGGGAGGAAGGGCCAGCUCCUGUCUGUCCAGCUGUGGCUCCCAGCACAGCUCCCCUGCACCUGCCACAUCCCAGCCUUGGCCCACACCUGGUGAAACAACCCAUGCCAACACCUCCUAUCUCCCCUCCACAGCUCAGGGAGGACCUGGCACUGGGUUAAGCACUGAUGCAGAAGAGGAGUCGGCCUGGUUUGAAGGCUGAGCCCUGGGGGGAAUCAUCAGCCCCACAGUGAAGCCCUUCAAGAGCCAUAAAGCAGCCUGCAGGCAUGGGGUGACCCCUGGCGCUGGGCUCUGCACCCCCUCGGCAGCUUCCCCAUCUCUAUAAAUACCUCCAUAAAGAUGAGUCUGCAGACGCAGCUUGCUGUAGAUGACAGCAUCAGAGGCACAUCUGUUUCUCCUAAACAGCAGUCUCGUGCUGGGUUUAUUUGGUCCAUUUGUGGCAGGGAAGAGUCGCUUUCGACAUUCAGCGCUGUCUCGUGUCUGGGGGAAGUGGAAGGGUUGCGGGGGGGGGAGAUGUAUUUUUGGCUCUAUUUAGCCACAAAAAUUUGGGUUUAGAAUAAAGAUAAAUAUUCCUGUUUUCUGUUUGCU